rnacentral:misc_RNA from 1 species
AUGAGCAAGGGUCUUCUAGGCCCGACCUCCCAACCCUAUGUUUACUUGACCGAUGUUGCUUCGGCGGGCCCGUCUUUAGGACCGCCGGGGGACUGUAAAACGUCCUCUGGCCCGUGCCCGUCGGUGGCCCAAACCACAACACUCUUUGUAAUGAAUCGUGUUAUGUCUGAGUAAAAUCUUAAAUUAAAGCA